rnacentral:rRNA from 1 species
CCUACGGGAGGCAGCAGUGAGGAAUAUUGGUCAAUGGGCGAGAGCCUGAACCAGCCAAGUCGCGUGAAGGAUGACGGCCCUCCGGGUUGUAAACUUCUUUUGUCAGGGAGCAAUUGGGUCCACGCGUGGGCUUAGCGAGAGUACCUGAAGAAAAAGCAUCGGCUGACUCCGUGCCAGCAGCCGCGGUAAUACGGAGGAUGCGAGCGUAAUCCGGAUUUAUUGGGUUUAAAGGGUGCGUAGGCGGAAUCUGAAGUCAGCGGUAAACAUUCGGGGCUCAACCCCGUCGUGCCGUUGAAACUGAUGUUCUUGAGUGGGCGAGAAGUAUGCGGAAUGCGGUGUGUAGCGGUGAAAUGCAUAGAUAUCACGCAGAACUCCGAUUGCGAAGGCAGCAGACCGGCGCCCAACUGACGCUGAAGCACGAAAGCGUGGGUAGCGAACAGGAUUAGAUACCCCAGUAGUC